GUAGGGAGCGAGCGUUGUCCGAAGUUACUGGGCGUAAAGCGCGCGUAGGCGGGUCUAAAAGUCGGAGGUGAAAUGCUGUGGCUCAACCACAUGCAGUGCCUCCGAUACUUUAGGUCUUGAGUGAGGUAGGGAGAAGUGGAAUGGCUGGUGUAGCGGUGAAAUGCGUAGAUAUCAGUCGGAACACCGGUGGCGAAGGCGGCUUCUUGGGCCUUUACUGACGCUGAGGCGCGAAAGCCAGGGGAGCGAACGGGAUUAGAUACCCCGGUAGUCCUGGCCGUAAACGAUGUCAACUGGUUGUUGGGUCUUCACUGACUCAGUAACGAAGCUAACGCGUGAAGUUGACCGCCUGGGGAGUACGGCCGCAAGGUUG
rnacentral:rRNA from 1 species